UACGUUCCCGGACCUUGUACACACCGCCCGUCAAGCCAUGGAAGUUGGGAGGACCUGAAGACAGUUGCUGCGAGGCGCUGUUUAGGGUUAAACCGACUAACUACGGGCU
rnacentral:rRNA from 1 species